CGGGAGGCCUGUUUUGACGCAUGUUCAUUUAGUUUCCGAUAUGCCGAUGUGUUCAACUACGUUCUUGCGGUUGUUGCCGGUGCUUCUUAUUGUGUUUCUCUUGGUGAGCGCUACGGAGUCCAAAAAGAAAGCUCAGAAGCUACGGUGCUACUGGGGCAAGUGCAGCAUUUACAGAGGAAAGUGGAAGCAGUGCAAGCCGAACGUCAACUGUGAUGGAACAGAGAUGCACUGCGAACGACAGUGCAUUAUGGAACACACAGGUUGUCCGCCGAAGCAUAAACAGGGUUCCUGUGUCAAGACUCUCCUGCGGUGGAACUGUCGCGAAUCAAUGACCUGUUCUUCUCGAUCAAGUCGCAAUUGUUACGCCGUAUGUGCUUCCAAUAAGUCGACCUCGGACAAGCCGAGACGUAAACCAACAAACCUACUCGGGCUUAUUCCUUUUAUUGGAGACCUGUUUCAAUAAAUCUCUUUUAUGAA